UACGUAGGGGGCAAGCGUUGUCCGGACUUACUGGGCGUAAAGGGAGCGUAGGCGGACAUUUAAGUCAGGGGUGAAAUCCCAGAGCUCAACUCUGGAACUGCCUUUGAUACUGGGUGUCUUGAGUGUGAUAGAGGUAUGUGGAACUCCGAGUGUAGAGGUGAAAUGCGUAGAGAUCCGGAGGAACACCAGAGGCGAAGGCGGCCUACUGGGCUGCACCUGACGCUGAGCCGCGAAAGCCAGGGGAGCGAACGGG
rnacentral:rRNA from 1 species